CUAAAAUGACCACCGAAGGAGAGACAGAUAUGAGAGAUGAGAUGUCCUGCUCACUCACGCAUCACUUUUAAGAGAGGUCAAUUACUGAUGAUGCGGC